GACGAACGCUGGCGGCGUGCUUAACACAUGCAAGUCGAACGGGAUUUAGUAAACAGAAACCUCGGUGGAAGAUUACUAAUGAGAGUGGCGAACGGGUGAGUAACGCGUGAGCAACCUGCCUAUGACAGUGGGAUAGCCUCGGGAAACCGGGAUUAAUACCGCAUAAAAUCGUAGAAACACAUGUUUUAACGGUCAAAGAUUUAUCGGUCAUAGAUGGGCUCGCGUCUGAUUAGCUAGUUGGUGAGAUAACAGCCCACCAAGGCGACGAUCAGUAGCCGGUCUGAGAGGAUGAACGGCCACAUUGGAACUGAGACACGGUCCAAACUCCUACGGGAGGCAGCAGUGGGGAAUAUUGCACAAUGGGGGAAACCCUGAUGCAGCGACGCCGCGUGAACGAAGAAGGUAUUCGUAUCGUAAAGUUCUGUCCUAUGGGAAGAUAAUGACAGUACCAUAGAAGAAAGCUCCGGCUAAAUACGU
rnacentral:rRNA from 1 species